UUAAACGUCCAUACCACGUUGAAUACACCGGUUCUCGUCCGAUCACCGAAGUUAAACAACGUCAGGCGCGCCUGCGAACACGGCGUGACUUAUUUU
rnacentral:rRNA from 1 species